UUGAACGCUGGCGGCAGGCCUAACACCUGUAAGUCGAGCGGAUGAAGGGAGCUUGCUCCUGGAUUCAGCGGCGGACGGGUGAGUAAUGCCUAGGAAUCUGCCUGGUAGUGGGGGAUAACGUCCGGAAACGGGCGCUAAUACCGCAUACGUCCUGAGGGAGAAAGUGGGGGAUCUUCGGACCUCACGCUAUCAGAUGAGCCUAGGUCGGAUUAGCUAGUUGGUGGGGUAAAGGCCUACCAAGGCGACGAUCCGUAACUGGUCUGAGAGGAUGAUCAGUCACACUGGAACUGAGACACGGUCCAGACUCCUACGGGAGGCAGCAGUGGGGAAUAUUGGACAAUGGGCGAAAGCCUGAUCCAGCCAUGCCGCGUGUGUGAAGAAGGUCUUCGGAUUGUAAAGCACUUUAAGUUGGGAGGAAGGGCAGUAAGUUAAUACCUUGCUGUUUUGACGUUACCAACAGAAUAAGCACCGGCUAACUUCGUG
rnacentral:rRNA from 1 species